rnacentral:rRNA from 1 species
AUUGAACGCUGGCGGCAGGCCUAACACAUGCAAGUCGAACGGUAACAGGAAGCAUCUUGCUGCUUUGCUGACGAGUGGCGGACGGGUGAGUAAUGUCUGGGAAACUGCCCGAUGGAGGGGGAUAACUACUGGAAACGGUAGCUAAUACCGCAUAACGUCGCAAGACCAAAGAGGGGGACCUUAGGGCCUCUUGCCAUCGGAUGUGCCCAGAUGGGAUUAGCUAGUAGGGGGGGUAACGGCUCACCUAGGCGACGAUCCCUAGCUGGUCUGAGAGGAUGACCAGCCACACUGGAACUGAGAAACGGUCCAGACUCCUACGGGAGGCAGCAGUGGGGAAUAUUGCACAAUGGGCGAAAGGCUGAUGCAGCAAUGCCGCGUGUAUGAAGAAGGACUUAGGGUUGUAAAGUAAUUUCAGCGGGGAGGAAGGGAGUAAAGUUAAUACCUUUGCUCAUUGACGUUACCCGCAGAAGAAGCACCGGCUAACUCCGUG